CUUCGCGCAAAUGCAAUAAGUUCAAGCCUCAUCGCUUUAGGGAAGUUGGUGAAAAUCCGACACUGCCCCCGCAACGGUAAAAUGAAAAGCUUAUCUUUAUAAAUCUUAGAUUUACACCACUGCAAUUUUUUUGUGGGAAGGUGGAUAAGUCAGUUACUUUAAUAUAACCACAUUUAAGUCCGGAUACCUGCUUAUUGUUCCUGCCACUC
rnacentral:ncRNA from 1 species